UGGGGAAUUUUGGACAAUGGGCGAAAGCCUGAUCCAGCAAUGCCGCGUGUGUGAAGAAGGCCUUCAGGUUGUAAAGCACUUUUGUCCGGAAAGAAAUCCUUGGCUCUAAUACAGUCGGGGGAUGACGGUACCGGAAGAAUAAGCACCGGCUAACUACGUGCCAGCAGCCGCGGUAAUACGUAGGGUGCAAGCGUUAAUCGGAAUUACUGGGCGUAAAGCGUGCGCAGGCGGUUUGCUAAGACCGAUGUGAAAUCCCCGGGCUCAACCUGGGAACUGCAUUGGUGACUGGCAGGCUAGAGUAUGGCAGAGGGGGGUAGAAUUCCACGUGUAGCAGUGAAAUGCGUAGAGAUGUGGAGGAAUACCGAUGGCGAAGGCAGCCCCCUGGGCCAAUACUGACGCUCAUGCACGAAAGCGUGGGGAGCAAACAGGAUUAGAUACCCUGGUAGUCCACGCCCUAAACGAUGUCAACUAGUUGUGGGGAUUCAUUCCUUAGUAACGUAGCUAACGCGUGAAGUUGACCGCCUGGGGAGUACGGUCGCAAGAUUAAAACUCAAAGGAAUUGACGGGGUCAUAGCUG
rnacentral:rRNA from 1 species